UACGUAGGUGGCAAGCGUUUAUCCGGAAUUAUUGGGCGUAAAGCGCGCGCAGGUGGUUUCUUAAGUCUGAUGUGAAAGCCCACGGCUCAACCGUGGAGGGUCAUUGGAAACUGGGAGACUUGAGUGCAGAAGAGGAAAGUGGAAUUCCAUGUGUAGCGGUGAAAUGCGUAGAGAUAUGGAGGAACACCAGUGGCGAAGGCGACUUUCUGGUCUGUAACUGACACUGGAGGCGCGAAA
rnacentral:rRNA from 1 species